CCCACACUGGUACUGAGACACGGACCAGACUCCUACGGGAGGCAGCAGUGAGGAAUAUUGGUCAAUGGCCGCAGGGCUGAACCAGCCAAGUCGCGUGAGGGAUGACGGUCCUAUGGAUUGUAAACCUCUUUUGUCAGGGAGCAAAGGGCGCCACGUGUGGCGCUUUGCGAGUACCUGAAGAAAAAGCAUCGGCUAACUCCGUGCCAGCAGCCGCGGUAAUACGGAGGAUGCGAGCGUUAUCCGGAUUUAUUGGGUUUAAAGGGUGCGCAGGCGGAAUGUCAAGUCAGCGGUAAAAUUUCGGGGCUCAACCCCGUCGUGCCGUUGAAACUGGCGUUCUUGAGUGAGCGAGAAGUAUGCGGAAUGCGUGGUGUAGCGGUGAAAUGCAUAGAUAUCACGCAGAACUCCGAUUGCGAAGGCAGCAUACCGGCGCUCAACUGACGCUCAUGCACGAAAGCGUGGGUAUCGAACAGGAUUAGAUACCCUGGUAGUCCACGCAGUAAACGAUGAAUAAUAACUGUCCGGGCAGAAUGAUGCCUGG
rnacentral:rRNA from 1 species